UACGGAGGAUCCGAGCGUUAUCCGGAUUUAUUGGGUUUAAAGGGAGUGUAGAUGGAUGUUUAAGUCAGUUGUGAAAGUUUGCGGCUCAACCGUAAAAUUGCAGUUGAUACUGGAUAUCUUGAGUGCAGUUGAGGCAGGCGGAAUUCGUGGUGUAGCGGUGAAAUGCUUAGAUAUCACGAAGAACUCCGAUUGCGAAGGCAGCCUGCUAAGCUGCAACUGACAUUGAGGCUCGAAAGUGUGGGUAUCAAACAGG
rnacentral:rRNA from 1 species